rnacentral:rRNA from 1 species
CGCGUAGGUGGUUAGAUAAGCGAGAUGUGAAAGCCCCGGGCUUAACCUGGGAACGGCAUUUCGAACUGUCUGACUAGAGUAUGGUAGAGGGUAGUGGAAUUUCCUGUGUAGCGGUGAAAUGCGUAGAUAUAGGAAGGAACACCAGUGGCGAAGGCGGCUACCUGGACCAAUACUGACACUGAGGUGCGAAAGCGUGGGGAGCAAACA